rnacentral:lncRNA from 1 species
AGUAAGAAUUUUUUAAGAUAAUGAGAGAAGCUAGAAGUGAUAUAAAAAAGUAAAUAAGUUAUAAAAGACAAAUAAAUUAGAAUAAAUUUUUUCAACUAAAACGUCACGAACGGAAGGAGUAGUAAAAUUCAUUAAAUGAUGUUCUGUUUCACUGAAACAAGCAUUAUACAUUAACAAUUAGAGAACUAAAGAUUAAUGGAUCGAACAAGACUAGAUUACAGGGCAAGUUUGAGAUCUAACAGCCCGCCUUCAGUAUGUUCUUCUAAUUUCUUCUUGUCUUCUUUUUUGUUAAUAAUGAGAUUGCUAUUAGGAACGCCGGCCGGGAAAAGUAGUGAAGGAGGAGGAGGCUGCUUUCUAAACUCAAUCUCUUGCGUAAAAUCUUCCCAUUGGAACGCCGGCACCCUACCGGAUUACUGAUGAUCAUCGGAAUUCCUCAUCUUCUUUUUGUUUCUUGCCUCUAGCUCAUUCAGCUCAUUUCUCCGGCGAUUGCGCGCUUCCUGAAAUCCUCUGAUCAGAGCAAAGAAUUUCUCCAUUCUCUCUUCCUCAUUUUGAUCGUCGUCUUCUUCUAAUUUUCCGGUGACGGAAACAAAUUUCUCCGGUAAUCUCUUCUCAUUUUCCAUCUCUCUGAUAAGUUUUGGGUCUGAUCGGAAACAAAUCGUGUGAGAAGAAGUUAAUUUCUCAGUGUUUUGGUUUGGUUUUAGUUUUUUACAAAUAAUAAUUUAUAGAAAUUUGGGUUUUGAAUCGGAAAGACAGAAAU